UUCCCCUAGUAACUGCGAGUGAAGCGGGAAAAGCUCAAAUUUAAAAUCUGACGGUCUUUGGCUGUCCGAGUUGUAAUCUAGAGAAGCAUUAUCCGCGCUGGACCGUGUACAAGUCUCCUGGAAUGGAGCGUCAUAGAGGGUGAGAAUCCCGUCUUUGACACGGACUGCCAGGGCUUUGUGAUGUGCUCUCAAAGAGUCGAGUUGUUUGGGAAUGCAGCUCAAAAUGGGUGGUAAAUUCCAUCUAAAGCUAAAUAUUGGCGAGAGACCGAUAGCGAACAAGUACCGUGAGGGAAAGAUGAAAAGAACUUUGGAAAGAGAGUUAAACAGUACGUGAAAUUGCUGAAAGGGAAACGCUUGAAGUCAGUCAUGUCAGUCAGGGAUCAGCCUUGCUUUUGCUUGGUGUACUUUCUGGCUGAUAGGUCAGCAUCAAUUUUGACUAUUGGAAAAAGAUUAGGGGAAUGUAGCAUCUUCGGAUGUGUUAUAGCCCUUGGUUGCAUGCAAUGGUUGGGAUUGAGGAACUCAGCACGCCGCAAGGCUGGGUUUUUUAACCACGUACGUGCUUAGGAUGCUGGCAGAAUGGCUUUAAUCGACCCGUCUUGAAACACGGACCAAGGAGUCUAACAUGCCUGCGAGUGUUUGGGUGGAAAACCCGAGCGCGUAAUGAAAGUGAAAGUUGAGAUCCCUGUCAUGGGGAGCAUCGACGCCUGGACCAGACCUUUUGUGACGGUUCCACGGUAGAGCAUGUAUGUUGGGACCCGAAAGAUGGUGAACUAUGCCUGAAUAGGGUGAAGCCAGAGGAAACUCUGGUGGAGGCUCGUAGCGAUUCUGACGUGCAAAUCGAUCGUCAAAUUUGGGUAUAGGGGCGAAAGACUAAUCGAAC
rnacentral:rRNA from 1 species